UGGGGAAUAUUGCGCAAUGGACGAAAGUCUGACGCAGCGACGCCGCGUGUGGGAUGAAGCUCUUCGGGGUGUAAACCACUGUUGCCCGGGAAGAAUCUCCUGUUUCGACAGGAUUGACGGUACCGGGUGAGGAAGCACCGGCUAACUCUGUGCCAGCAGCCGCGGUAAUACAGAGGGUGCGAGCGUUGUCCGGAAUCACUGGGCGUAAAGGGCGCGUAGGUGGCGGGAUAAGUGUGUGGUGAAAGCUCGGGGCUCAACCCCGAGUCUGCCAUGCAAACUGUCUUGCUCGAGCAUAGUAGAGGCACGUGGAAUUCCGGGUGUAGCGGUGGAAUGCGUAGAGAUCCGGAAGAACACCGGUGGCGAAGGCGGCGUGCUGGGCUAUUGCUGACACUGAUGCGCGACAGCGUGGGGAGCAAACAGG
rnacentral:rRNA from 1 species